rnacentral:tRNA from 1 species
UCUCUGGUGGUCCAGUGGUUAGGACUCUGCACUCUCACUGUUGAGGGCCUGGGUUCGAUCUCUAGUCAGGGAA